rnacentral:rRNA from 1 species
ACGGGAGGCAGCAGUGGGGGAUAUUGGUCAAUGGGGGCAACCCUGAACCAGCGACGCCGCGUGAGUGAAGAAGUAUUUCGGUAUGUAAAGCUCUAUCAGCAGGGAAGAAAAUGACGGUACCUGACUAAGAAGCCCCGGCUAACUACGUGCCAGCAGCCGCGGUAAUACGUAGGGGGCAAGCGUUAUCCGGAUUUACUGGGUGUAAAGGGAGCGUAGACGGCGAUGCAAGUCUGAUGUGAAAGCCCGGGGCUCAACCCCGGCACUGCAUGGAAACUGUGUUGCUAGAGUGCAGGAGAGGUAAGUGGAAUUCCUAGUGUAGCGGUGAAAUGCGUAGAUAUUAGGAGGAACACCAGUGGCGAAGGCGGCUUACUGGACUGUAACUGACGUUGAGGCUCGAAAGCGUGGGGAGCAAACAGGAUUAGAUACCCUGGUA